rnacentral:rRNA from 1 species
GAUGAACGCUGGCGGCGUGCCUAAUACAUGCAAGUCGAGCGAACGGACGAGAAGCUUGCUUCUCUGAUGUUAGCGGCGGACGGGUGAGUAACACGUGGAUAACCUACCUAUAAGACUGGGAUAACUUCGGGAAACCGUAGCUAAUACCGGAUAAUAUUUUGAACCGCAUGGUUCAAAAGUGAAAGACGGUCUUGCUGUCACUUAUAGAUGGAUCCGCGCUGCAUUAGCUAGUUGGUAAGGUAACGGCUUACCAAGGCAACGAUGCAUAGCCGACCUGAGAGGGUGAUCAGCCACACUGGAACUGAGACACGGUCCAGACUCCUACGGGAGGCAGCAGUAGGGAAUCUUCCGCAAAGGGCGAAAGCCUGACGGAGCAACGCCGCGUGAGUGAUGAAGGUCUUCGGAUCGUAAAACUCUGUUAUUAGGGAAGAACAUAUGUGUAAGUAACUGUGCACAUCUUGACGGUACCUAAUCAGAAAGCCACGGCUAACUACGUG